rnacentral:rRNA from 1 species
GUGGCGAAUUUUGGACAAUGGGCGCAAGCCUGAUCCAGCCAUGCCGCGUGCAGGAUGAAGGCCUUCGGGUUGUAAACUGCUUUUGUACGGAACGAAAAGACUCUGGUUAAUACCUGGGGUCCAUGACGGUACCGUAAGAAUAAGCACCGACUAACUACGUGCCAGCAGCCGCGGUAAUACGUAGGGUGCGAGCGUUAAUCGGAAUUACUGGGCGUAAAGCGUGCGCAGGCGGUUAUGUAAGACAGAUGUGAAAUCCCCGGGCUCAACCUGGGAACUGCAUUUGUGACUGCAUAGCUAGAGUACGGCAGAGGGGGAUGGAAUUCCGCGUGUAGCAGUGAAAUGCGUAGAUAUGCGGAGGAACACCGAUGGCGAAGGCAAUCCCCUGGGCCUGUACUGACGCUCAUGCACGAAAGCGUGGGGAGCAAACAGGAUUAGAUACCCUUGUAGUCC